UCCAGUAUAUCACUGGCAGUCCCCCUAGAGUGCCCAACUAAAUGAUGGCAACUAAGGGCGAGGGUUGCGCUCGUUGCGGGACUUAACCCAACAUCUCACGACACGAGCUGACGACAGCCAUGCAGCACCUGUGUCCCCGGCUCCGAAGAGAAGAAACCAUCUCUGGUAUCCGUCCGAGGCAUGUCAAAAGCUGGUAAAGUUCUGCGCGUUGCUUCGAAUUAAACCACAUGUUCCACCGCUUGUGCGGGCCCCCGUCAAUUCCUUUGAGUUUCAGCCUUGCGGCCGUACUCCCCAGGCGGAGUGCUUAAUGCGUUUGCUGCAGCACUAAAGGGCGGAAACCCUCUAACACUUAGCACUCAUCGUUUACGGCGUGGACUAC
rnacentral:misc_RNA from 1 species